rnacentral:lncRNA from 1 species
AUCGGCUAAAUGGAGCUGGAUUAGAAUCUUGAUCUAUCAUAUGAACUUCGUAGUUUUAACAUUGUGUCCCAUUGGGCGUGCCAAAAUGUUGACCCUAAAAACUACUAAGCCUACGUGGCGCGCAGGCCGAGUAACUAAUGAGCAAACUACAUCAUUCGGUUGUAUGCGGGCAUGCCAACUUGUCAACCGAGCUCGGUCGAGGAGUAAAAUAUGUUGAUGUUGUGUCAAAGG